UUGCUGCGCGCGCAAGUGAGGUGGUGCUUAUGGGCGGCGGCUGCGGUGGAUAUAAGGCUGCGAGGGCUAGUGCGCGGCCUUAGGUUGUUGGUGACUCUCUUUGUUGGAAACCCUCGUGCAGUACACACCGCAGACAUGGCCGCCAGCGACAUGCCCGACCUUGGCACGAACGAGGAGAAGGAGUACCGCUUCAGGCAACUCCACGGCAAAACUCUCCGCUUCCAGGUCAAGGCAGCGCACGACUGCCAUGUGGCGUUCACGUCUGGCCCUGAGGAGACCGACCCCAUGGUGGAGGUGUUCAUCGGGGGCUGGGAGGGCGCCGCCUCUGCCAUCAGGUUCAAGAAGGCUGACGAUCUGGCGAAGGUGGACACGCCGGACAUCCUGAACGCGGACGAAUACCGGGAGUUCUGGAUCGCCGUGGACCAUGACGAGGUGCGCGUGGGCAAGGGCGGCGAGUGGGAGCCCCUGUUGCAGGCGCCCAUCCCCGAGCCCUUCGAGAUCACCCACUACGGCUACUCCACCGGCUGGGGCGCGACGGGCUGGUGGCAGUUCUUCCAUGACCGCACCAUCAACACCGAGGACUGCCUCACCUACAACUUCGAGCCCGUCUACGGCGACACCUUCAACUUCAGCGUGGCCUGCAGCAACGACGCCCACCUGGCCCUCACCUCCGGCGCCGAGGAGACCACGCCCAUGUACGAGAUCUUCAUCGGUGGCUGGGAGAACCAGCACUCUGCCAUCCGUCUGAACAAGGAGGGACGAGACACUGGUGACGACAUGGCGAAGGUGGAAACGCCCGACGCUGUGUGCUGCGAGGAGGAGAGGAAGUUCUGGGUGUCCUUCAGGAAAGGCCAUAUCAAGGUGGGCUACAAGGACACCGCCCCCUUCAUGGAGUGGACCGACCCCGAGCCCUGGAAGAUUACUCACGUUGGCUACUGCACGGGCUGGGGCGCUACCGGCAAGUGGAGGCUGGACAUUUAAGUGGGAAGACUGACAGUGGAAGAGGAGGAGGUGGAGGAGACGAACACGAAGGAGGAGGCUAAUGGUUGCAUGUCUCUUUGCCUCGGCGUCUCCACCACCACCUCCAACACCACCACUACUUAACCAGCACCACAACGCCAUUCGCCUCUUGUUUAGUCCGCCAACACCGCCAUUAGUGCUUCCGGUCUUGUUUGUCAUCGUCCUCGGCUCAUAAUCAUCGUUUGUCUUUGUUUCGUUUUGUCUUAAAGUUUACAGGCAACGUUUUUUUUUUCCUUAGCCUCCAAGGUGUGUAGAGCGUUGCUGGAACACCUGAUGCUGCUGAUGCUGUGUUAAUUAAUCUUCGCGAGGUAUUUGAUGUUAUAAAAAACAUGGUCCGGAUAUGAGAGGUAUUUUUCGUACUCUUGUGGCUUCACGUCAAUAAAGCUGAAAACGUAGAAA